rnacentral:lncRNA from 12 species
CUACUGGCCUGACAAGUGUAUGAGUUAGUUAAAUAAAAAAGUAAUGUUAUAAUUUAUUAGGCUCCUGCUGUGUACAUAAAUUAUUUCAUUUUAUCCAUACAACAUUUAUUAUUCUCAUUUUCAGUGAGGAAGCAGACUCAGGAAGAUGAAUAACUUGCCCAAAGUUGCAGAGGUAGAGAGGCAGCCUAGAGAUCCAGCUGCCAAUCUGCCAGAUCCCAAAGCUCCUCUCCGGCUUGACCUCCAUGUCCAAGCGCUGGGACAGUGGGCAGGGAAGGCUGUGUCAGUUUCUGGAUCAGAUCUUGGAGUUUCUAAUUAAUCUAACCAUGAAUCACUAUCUGCCACGAACUUCAUUGUGUUCUACUUUGAAGAAAGAGACCAACGAUUUCUUGUAAGUGCCAUUAUGCAUUGUAUCCAGGAAAAAGAGGCCUGCAUAGAUGUGUAAGAAGAGAAAAGUCACCAAAGGGUAAGACGUUUGAGAUUGCACUGGGAAACUAAAACACAAACCUUAUACAUGAUUGACAUAUAAAUCAUCUGACUUUGAAGAAUACACUUAAGGAGUUGUGGGUUUUUAAGUUUUCAAACUCUGCUUCCAGUGUCAUCAGGGAGCUUGUUUGUAUAAUUACACUUCACUGCGGAAUAUAAGAUCUUCAGACACUUGUACAGUCCAUGAGUGGGGAAAACCCAGAUUUUGUGCAAAGCUCUAGAGUUAUUCUAUAACCCAACUGUCAUUGAUUGAGAAUAUUGACACAUUCUGUCAGCAGAGCCGGGAAUAAUGCCUCAGGGGCCUCACAGUUCAGGAGAGGGUCUGAUCCACUUUGAAGGGGCAUCUGCUUUAUUCCAGUAGAAGAGGCCAUUUCUAAGUAAAAGUAUGGAAGGUCAGAAAAUUAGGCAGGGGUCAGGGAUUGGGGGGAAAUCCCCUGCAGAGAACUGACCAUCUAAGAGAGAAGUCUAGAUGCAUCUUAUUUGCACGAAAAUUAGUGGAGAUCUAAGGGAAAAGCCAUAGUUGACAUUUUAAGGUACUGGAAUUAAGGGGCCCAGAAGGGUGAAGUUCAAACUUUAUACAAGGUAUCUGAGUGUUGGCACAAACUAAGAUGGUAAAACUGAGCUCUAUCACGUCAGUUCUGUUCCAGUUGGGCAGGACAGGCACCCACAAGGAGCAAGAGGUGAUCAGGGGUGAGAAGGGAGGCACUGGAGGAUGUCAUUCACAUUGUUCUUCAAGUUACUCCUCAGGGAAUACUUUCUAAUUUUGGAUAAUAGGGAGCUGGGUUAUAACAAAAUAAAUUUUAUUACAUCAUAGGGAC